rnacentral:lncRNA from 1 species
GCUUCUGAAAGUGAGCUCAGAGAUGGCAACUUUGCUCAUCAAGAGGUUUGAUUCUGCUUCAUGCACUCUUUUUUCAUGUUUCCGUUGGACUUUCAUGCCUUGUUUCUGUUCCUGGGUAUUUUGGUUUAUCAUGUCAUGUUCCUAAAAGCCUUGCAUUUUUAAUCUCCUGUUCCAGUUCAUGAUCCUGUUCUUUGUUCCAGUUCAUGACUCUGUUCCUUGGACUAAUUUUGACUACCUUGAUUGAAGUUUAUUCUUGUGUUUGGAAUUCUAUGGACCCUUGCUUCAAGUUUUCUAAGUGCCUCGUACCUUGUUUUAGUGACUUUGAACUUUGAUUUGCUUUCCCCCAAAUUACAGUAUUUUGAUCUCAAGUUUUUUUCUGUCAAAACUAAAGAAAUAUUUGCCAAUUUUAGUAAAUUAUUAUUUUAAAAACAUUAUUUUAAAAUUGUAUCUUUCUGACUAGAUUUAAUAUUCCCAGUAUGGAGUGUUAGAGAUGGACAGUCUAUCAAGUGAGAAGAAUAUAGCUAUGCAAACAUGGCUGAAUAUACAGGACAAAAGAGAACUUCACAGAUAAAGCAAUAUUGGAUAUCUCCUUAUGCAAACCUAUCAAAAAUACAAUUGCUAUCAGUUGGAUUCAGCUGUGUUUCCUGUGAAGUUACUUGUUCCAGUCUGGGAAGAGGUUUGUCUAACUUUGACAUUAUGUAUCAAUGGAUCACAUGAAUAUUAAUGGAUUUUCUCCACCAUUGAUUUUUAUAUUUUUUCCAUAGAAGAUCCUGAGGUUCCUUGAAGACUGAU